AGGAGCUUGCUCCUCUGACGUUAGCGGCGGACGGGUGAGUAACACGUGGGUAACCUACCUAUAAGACUGGAAUAACUCCGGGAAACCGGGGCUAAUGCCGGAUAUUAUGCGGAACCGCAUGGUUCUGCAAUGAAAGACGGUCUUGCUGUCACUUAUAGAUGGACCCGCGCCGUAUUAGCUAGUUGGUAAGGUAACGGCUUACCAAGGCAACGAUACGUAGCCGACCUGAGAGGGUGAUCGGCCACACUGGAACUGAGACACGGUCCAGACUCCUACGGGAGGCAGCAGUAGGGAAUCUUCCGCAAUGGGCGAAAGCCUGACGGAGCAACGCCGCGUGAGUGAUGAAGGUCUUCGGAUCGUAAAACUCUGUUAUUAGGGAAGAANCAAGUGCGUAGGUAANCUAUGCGCAGCCUUGAGCGGUACCCUAAUCAGAAAGCCCG
rnacentral:rRNA from 1 species